rnacentral:rRNA from 1 species
CCUACGGGAGGCAGCAGUGAGGAAUAUUGGUCAAUGGGCGCGAGCCUGAACCAGCCAAGUAGCGUGAAGGAUGACUGCCCUACGGGUUGUAAACUUCUUUUAUAAAGGAAUAAAGUGAGGCACGUGUGCCGUUUUGUAUGUACGUUAUGAAUAAGGAUCGGCUAACUCCGUGCCAGCAGCCGCGGUAAUACGGAGGAUCCGAGCGUUAUCCGGAUUUAUUGGGGUUAAAGGGAGCGUAGAGGGGUUGUUAAGUCAGUGGUGAAAGUUUGCGGCUCAACCGUAAAAUUGCAAUUGAUACUGGCAGUCUUGCGUACAGUUGAGGUAGGCGGCAUUCGUUUUGUAGCGGUGAACUGCUUCGCUAUCAC